rnacentral:rRNA from 1 species
UCUGGUUGAUCCUGCCAGUAGUCAUAUGCUUGUCUCAAAGAUUAAGCCAUGCAUGUCUAAGUACAAGCCUCACUAAGGUGAAACCGCGAAUGGCUCAUUAAAUCACACCUAAUCUACUGGAUAGUAAAAAGUUACUUGGAUAACUGCGGUAAUUCUGGAGCUAAUACAUGCACAAAGCCGCGACUCACGAAGCGGCGCUUUUAUUAGAUCAAAACCAAACGGCUUCGGCUGUACUCAUGGUGACUCUGAAUAACUUUGGGCUGAUCGCAUAGCCUUGAGCUGGCGACAUAUCCUUCGAAGGUGUGCCCUAUCAACUUUCGACUGUGGCAUAGACGCCCACAGUGGUUUUGACGGGUAACGGGGAAUCAGGGUUCGAUUCCGGAGAGGGAGCCUUAAAAACGGCUACCACAUCUAAGGAAGGCAGCAGGCACGCAAAUUACCCAAUGACCGAAGGUCGAGGUAGUGACGAAAAAUAACGAUAGAGGACUCAUCCGAGGCCCUCUAAUUGGAAUGAGUACACUUUAAAACCGUCCCCGAGGAUCUAUUGGAGGGCAAGUCUGGUGCCAGCAGCCGCGGUAAUUCCAGCUCCAAUAGCGUAUAUUAAAGUUGUUGUGGUUAAAAAGCUCGUAGUUGGAUCUCAACAGCCUUGAAGCGGUUAACUUUGUAGUUUUACUGCUUUAUAGGCUGUGCUUUUGCUGGAGGUUUAGGGGUGCUCUUGAUCGAGUGUCUCUGGAUGCCAGCAGGUUUACUUUGAAAAAAUUAGAGUGCUCAAAGCAGGCUAAAAUGCCUGAAUAUUCGUGCAUGGAAUAAUAGAAUAGGAUGUCGAUCCUAUUUUGUUGGUUUUCGGGACUCGACAUAAUGAUAAAUAGGGACAGUCGGGGGCAUUUGUAUUCAAACGACAGAGGUGAAAUUCUUGGACCGUUUGAAGACAAACUACUGCGAAAGCAUUUGCCAAGAAUGUUUUCAUUAAUCAAGAACGAAAGUUAGAGGUUCGAAGGCGAUUAGAUACCGCCCUAGUUCUAACCAUAAACGAUGCCAGCUAGCGAUCUGCCUGCGUUUUUACUGUAGACUGGGCAGGAAGCUUCCGGGAAACCAAAGCAUUUGGGUUCCAGGGGAAGUAUGGUUGCAAAGCUGAAACUUAAAGGAAUUGACGGAAGGGCACCACCAGGAGUGGAGCCUGCGGCUUAAUUUGACUCAACACGGGGAAACUCACCCGGUCCGGACACUGGAAGGAUUGACAGAUUAAAAGCU